rnacentral:lncRNA from 1 species
UCCUCCUUUUUCAGCUUGACUGGAGAGCUUCUUCAUGCUCUCAUACUUUAUUCCUGUGAUCAGACUGCAGGAGGCAAAUGAGAGCCAAGAGGGUUGUGGCACUUGUGGUUUAUUUUAGAGGUGGUUUAUUCUCUGAAAAGAAAAAAAAAAAGAAAGAAAGAAACAGAAGAAAAAAAAAGAAAGAAAGAAAGAAACAUUCUGAAAUUUUCACAUGGAAUAGAGAUCUCGUCUGCGUCCUGCUGAGUUGCUUUAAAGAAAACUUUGGUCUCCAAAGACAUCAGUGAGAAAACUAACAAGAGCAUUUUGGGAGAAUAACUAUUUGAUGCCAGAAGGACACUCGGGAUGAAAUUCAGUUGUCUAAACUGGCAUCUAUGGUUCUUGCUAGACCUCGUGGGACGGUGUCUGAGAGAACUGCACCAGGCUGGCUGACAUUAUGUGGGACCUAGGGGAGCUCUGUGCCCUCAUGGCAAAACAGAUGGAUUACCAUUUUGCAAAACCUCUCUGAACAAGAGAUGUAUUAUUCCCAUUUUGGAUGAGAGAAGUCAACGUGGGAUUGCUUCCCUGAGUUACCUGGAAAGUGUGACGCUGAAAGAGUAUUUCACCUCAAAGCUCCUGCAGCCCUUUCCACAGGAACAUUUCUUCUACCUAAGCAUUAAUUGUUUUCCUAAUCCCACUCUCCCUCCUAAUCCCAUUCUCCCCCAAAGGAGAAUAGCUAAAUGUAAAAGAAAGCAAGGUAAAACAGUUACAGGUGUCUAGAACGGCUCAGUACUUGUGCUGUAUUUGCCUGUAUAGUGCUCCUUCUGUCUUGCCCAUUUAGGCAAACGUUGUCUCUUUGUAUGCUCCCACACUUUGUGUUUAAUGAUACUGCCCUUAUGUCUUCUACCUCUGAUACAAGAUCCUGAAAAAAAAAAAAAAAAGAAAAAAAAGUAUUUUUCAACUUGAAUGGAAUUCUUUUGUCCAGUCUAAAGUUGCGCUUCACUCCUCAGUGUUCCUUGCCUGCCAAAGGAAAAUUAAAAAAAUAAAUAAAAAAGAAAUUUAAAAGUAUGUUUUCAUUUGCAAACAUUUAAGACUAAUGUAAGGCUACUCACUUUGGAAAAAAACAAAACCAUUUGCAGGGUAUGGUGCACGUGUGUUGGGGAGGGGAGAUAGGGAGAUAUUCAUGUUUCAGAAUUUUCUAAAUCUACUUUUUUUUGAAA